rnacentral:rRNA from 1 species
AGAAGCUUGCUUCUUUGCUGACGAGUGGCGGACGGGUGAGUAAUGUCUGGGAAACUGCCUGAUGGAGGGGGAUAACUACUGGAAACGGUAGCUAAUACCGCAUAACGUCGCAAGACCAAAGAGGGGGACCUUCGGGCCUCUUGCCAUCGGAUGUGCCCAGAUGGGAUUAGCUAGUAGGUGGGGUAACGGCUCACCUAGGCGACGAUCCCUAGCUGGUCUGAGAGGAUGACCAGCCACACUGGAACUGAGACACGGUCCAGACUCCUACGGGAGGCAGCAGUGGGGAAUAUUGCACAAUGGGCGCAAGCCUGAUGCAGCCAUGCCGCGUGUAUGAAGAAGGCCUUCGGGUUGUAAAGUACUUUCAGCGGGGAGGAAGGGAGUAAAGUUAAUACCUUUGCUCAUUGACGUUACCCG